CAGCUUUUAGGCAUCCGCUUAAAGUGGAAAUCUCAUGGCUAAGUUUUUCAGUAGCCUCUUGCCCUGCAGGACCUCAAGCAUUUUGGGAAGAUCUUUAAAAAAAAAACACCAAAAAAGCAGUUUUUAUUUUCUCGCUAAUGAAGGUGAGCCUUAAUGCCCUUUAAUGCAUCAAUUCAGAACCUCUGUUGCACCCUAAACCCAUUCCACAUAGCCUAAAACCAUUCUCAACAACCAGAAUCCAUUUCUGUAUUUCAUUUUGAAUUUGACAGGUUAGCUUUGUCAUGUGGGCCUAAACUGGCUAGUAUAUAGCUAAGCUCCAAAAUGGCUUUAUGCCUCUAGGUUAAACUCAGGAACACUCAGAAAUGACAUUUUCAAGUCAAUAGCUAAUUCAUUCACAGAGCUAAUCCAUUCUGAUCUAGCUUUCUUAUCCUUACCCAUACAGAUAAGAAUUCUGAUCAAAUGCUCUGAUAAUCUUUCCAACCACUUUCAGAUUAAAGAUUCAUUAUUUUUGUCCAUUACAGCUUCUUAUUAUUAGGCCACUAAAAGUAGCACUCAAACAUUAGAUUUAAUUGUUUCAAUGUUAGAAAGGCAAAGUUUUACCCCAGGAACUACUGGGGUCUCUCCUCUGUGCCAGGAGAGAUCAUGGAGCAGUUCCUCUUGGAAGCUAUGCUAAGGCAUGUGGAAGACAGGGAGGUGAUACAGGAGAACCAACAUGGCUUCACCAAGGGCAAAUCCUGCUUGACAAACCUGGUGGCCUUAUGAUGGUGUCACUUCAUCAAUGGACAACGGAAGAGCCACUGAUGAGAGAGGUCCUUGUCAUAUAAACCUUCUCAGGAGUCUGCUUUGCCAUUACCUCCAAUUACCAAAAUUGGAGGUUUUUACAGGAAUGAUCAUCCGGGAAGGACAAAUAUGGUUUGGUUUAGCCUUGUGCUUUUGAUAGUUCAGUCUACAUAACUUCUGUAUGUAGAAAUCAUCCUUCUUGGGAAUUACCUAAUCAACUUUUUGUGCUUGUUUUACAUCUGUUAUAAAUUAUUUCCUUAAAAGUUCUUUUUUUUGUUCUUGUUUUUUGUUGGCUUGUUUUUCCCAUAAGCUAUUGAGUAAGUCUACAGUUAAUGACUUCCUGCAGGGAGUUGGACCAGAUGACCUUUUAAAGGUCCCUUCCAACCAUUUUUUGAUUCUAAGUAAAGUCAUUUGCUUGGCUUAGGCUAACCGUAGAGGGUCAGAAUCUUGUUGGGACAUGAAUCAUCAUUAAGUCUGUACUGAUGACAGAAAAAUAAUACUCACUGUAAUUUAAAAACUGUUCUAAUAACUCGUGGACACCUUUCAAUUACAGCUUCCAUUAUUUUACCCUGGAAACCACACUGACUUCUUACACUCAUCAAACAGAAAGCUACAGGACAGACAGAGGCAAACAAAGCCAUGAAUGCCUGGGCCAGUACAGCUUUCAUUGGUGCUUUGUGCUUUUGCAGGAAAGGUGCUCUGUUAAGCUUUACUGAGCUCAUUUUCAUGCUAGUAAAAAAUGGUUGCUUGUCAGUGGUUUAAGGGCGGUUCCGGCCCGGUUCUGUGACUAGUGGGGCGGAGGGAUUUCGCAAAAUCCGUGCCUCCAGGAAGGGAAACAGGGGACCCCAAAAUAAUUAAAAACAGCG
ensembl:lncRNA